rnacentral:rRNA from 1 species
ACGCACGCUGGCGGCGUGCUUAACACAUGCCGGUCGAACGGUGAAGCGCCUUCCUUUUUGGUGGGUGUGGAUGAGUGGCGAACGGGUGAGUAACACGUGAGUAACCUGCCCCCUUCUUCUGGAUAACCGCAUGAAAGUGUGGCUAAUACGGGAUAUUCUGGGUCUGUCGCAUGAUGGGUCUGGGAAAGAUAUUGUUUCGGUGGGGGAUGGGCUCGCGGCCUAUCAGCUUGUUGGUGGGGUGAUGGCCUACCAAGGCGGUGACGGGUAGCCGGCCUGAGAGGGUGGACGGUCACACUGGGACUGAGACACGGCCCAGACUCCUACGGGAGGCAGCAGUGGGGAAUAUUGCACAAUGGGCGCAAGCCUGAUGCAGCGACGCCGCGUGAGGGAUGGAGGCCUUCGGGUUGUGAACCUCUUUCGCCAGUGAAGCAGGCCUGCCUCGUUUGUGGGUGGGUUGACGGUAGCUGGAUAAGAAGCGCCGGCUAACUACGUG